rnacentral:rRNA from 1 species
AGGUUAAGUGAAUAAGGGCGCACGGUGGAUGCCUUGGCACUAGGAGCCGAUGAAGGACGGGACUAACACCGAUAUGCUUUGGGGAGCUGUAAGUAAGCUAUGAUCCAGAGAUUUCCGAAUGGGGGAACCCAGCAUCUUUUAUAGGAUGUUACGUCUGCGUGAAUACAUAGCGCAGUCGAGGUAGACGCAGAGAACUGAAACAUCUAAGUACCUGCAGGAAGAGAAAGAAAAUUCGAUUCCCUGAGUAGCGGCGAGCGAAACGGGAAAAGCCCAAACCAACAAGCUUGCUUGUUGGGGUUGUAGGACUCCGAUAUGGUAGUCUAUUCAGAUAGUCGAAAUACUUGGAAAAGUAUGUCAAAGAGGGUAAAAACCCCGUAGGCGAAAUUUGGAUAACACCUAGGAGGAUCCUGAGUACGGCGGAACACGAGGAAUUCC